UACAGAGGGGGCAAGCGUUGUUCGGAAUUACUGGGCGUAAAGGGCGCGUAGGCGGCCUGUUAAGUCGAACGUGAAAUCCCCGGGCUCAACCCGGGAACUGCGUCCGAUACUGGCAGGCUUGAAUCCGGGAGAGGGAUGCGGAAUUCCAGGUGUAGCGGUGAAAUGCGUAGAUAUCUGGAGGAACACCGGUGGCGAAGGCGGCAUCCUGGACCGGUAUUGACGCUGAGGCGCGAAAGCCAGGGGGAGCAAAACGGG
rnacentral:rRNA from 1 species